UAAUAGCGAUAUACUUAAGGUUCCCUCUGUUAGAGGGUAAUAGGGGAAGCCGGUGAAAAUCCGGCGCGGUCCCGCCACUGUGAACAAGGAGUUCUCUGCCCAAUCCCUUGCUUGAAUUUUGGGAAAGGCAAGAGAAUGAUGAUCUGAAGCCAGGAAACCUGUCUUAAGUAAGAUCACAAA
rnacentral:ncRNA from 2 species